GCAGCAGCAGCAGGGAGCUGCAAAGGGACACAGAUGGAAGCUUGCGUGUCAGUCAGCUGUUCAUCAAUGCCCAAAGGAAUGAGUUUUGUUCUGGGCGGCAGGAUGAAGGCAGUGUGUGUGCACCUGUGCAUUCAGAAUGGGGCCUUCCUGAUUCAGCUUGAGCAGGAUCUGAAAUGAACAGAGCGGACAUCCAAAAACUUCAGGUGACAGUGGGGAGAGGAAGAAUGAGGGAAAACCCAGCAGAGGAUUGUUGAGAAGUGCCAGAUGGAAAAAGAGGGGGAACCAAAGAACAAAAGCUGGAGCAAAAUAGAAGAAUAGGUUUGGAUCACCUGCUUCGCAACAUGGAAUCCAAAAAACAUAAUGCAGCAGUAACGAGAAAGAAGCCUGUGCCCUCCGCAUAGGAAAUACUUAGAUUCUGAAACAAGCUUUAAACCUCAGUGGAAAAUGCACACAGGGGAGAAACCAUAUGAAUGUUUAGAGUGUGGAAAGAGCUUCAGGCGGAGUGGAGAGCUUCCUAAACAUCAUAAAAUCCACACUGGGGAGAAACCACAUAAAUGCUUGGAGUGCGGAAAGAGCUUCAGCCGUAGUGGAGCUCUUACUAGCCAUCAUAGAACCCACACUGGGGAAAAGCCACAUAAAUGCUUGGAGUGUGGAAAGAGCUACAGGAACAGUGGAGCUCUGGCUUUCCACCAUAGAACCCAUACUGGGGAGAAACCAUAUAAAUGUUUAGAGUGUGGAAAGAGCUUCAGUCAGAGUGGAGCUCUUAAUAGCCAUCAUAGAACCCACACUGGAGAGAAACCAUAUAAAUGCCUGAAGUGUGGAAAGAGCUUUAGUCGGAGUGGAAAGCUUACUUUACACCAUAGAACCCAUACUGGGGAGAAACCUCAUAAAUGUUUAGAAUGUGGAAAGAGCUUUAGGUGGAGUGGAGCUCUUACUUUGCACUGCAGAAUCCACACUGGCGAGAAACCACAUAAAUGCUUAGAGUGUGGGAAAAGCUUCAGACACAGUGUAGCUCUAAUUAUACACCAUAGAACUCACACUGGGGAGAAACCAUAUAAGUGCUUGGAGUGUGGAAAGAACUUCAGCCAGAGGGGAAAUCUUACCUCACAUCCACACUGGGGAGAAACCACAUGAGUGCUUGGAGUGUGGGAAGAGCUUCACGACGAGUGGAAACCUUACUUUACACCAUAGAACCCAUACUGGGGAGAAACCACAUAAAUGCUUGGAGUGUGGAAAGAGAUUUAGCCACAGUUCAUCUCUUACUUCACAUCAUAGAAUCCACACUGGGGAGAAACCACAUAAAGGCUUGGAAGAAGGAAGGCACACCUGCCCAUCAGCAAACUGCAGUGUAAAAAUCAUACAUAUGAAACGUCAGACAUGCCUGAGCAUCUGUCUCUGUGAAAUAUAAAACCUUCCAUCCAACCCUAGAACUGGCUGAAAAGUAAGAAGGAACCGUGUCCUGGGUGAAUUAUACAGAAGGCAGUAUAAAAUAUAAAAUGUAUGCUGUCCUCAGUUUGAUUAGCUCCAUAAACACAAAGGCAUGUGUUAUCUGGC